rnacentral:rRNA from 1 species
ACUCUCUGGUAUUCCGGAGAGUAUGCCUGUUCGAGUGUCGUGAAGUUCUCAAACUCUCAGCUUUGCGGCUGACCGUUUGGAGUUGGAGCCUGUCGGCGAGAGUCGACUGCUCUGAAAUGUAUUAGCCAUUACCACGAUCGGCUGAAGUGUAAUAAAUCUUUGUUCACUAACGCUAGUCUACGGUGAAGGCUCAUAGAAACCCAAUUUAUUCACCUUUGACCUCGAAUCAGGUAGGAUUACCCGCUGAACUUAAGCAUAUCAAUAAGCGGAGGAAAAGAAACUAACAAGGAUUCCCCUAGUAACGGCGAGUGAAGCGGGAUGAGCUCAAAUUUAAAAUCUGGCGGUUUCACCGUCCGAGUUGUAAUCUGGAGAAGCGUCUUCCGCGC